UACGGGGGGGGCAAGCGUUGUUCGGAAUUACUGGGCGUAAAGGGCUCGUAGGUGGCCAACUAAGUCAGACGUGAAAUCCCCAGGCUUAACCUGGGAACUGCGUCUGAUACUGGAUGGCUUGAGUUCGGGAGAGGGAUGCGGAAUUCCAGGUGUAGCGGUGAAAUGCGUAGAUAUCUGGAGGAAUACCGGUGGCGAAGGCGGCAUCCUGGACCGGCAUUGACGCUGAGGAGCGAAAGCCAGGGGAGCAAACGGG
rnacentral:rRNA from 1 species